AGGACGAACGCUGGCGGCGUGCCUAAUACAUGCAAGUCGAACGCUUCUUUUUCCACCGGAGCUUGCUCCACCGGAAAAAGAGGAGUGGCGAACGGGUGAGUAACACGUGGGUAACCUGCCCAUCAGAAGGGGAUAACACUUGGAAACAGGUGCUAAUACCGUAUAACAAUCAAAACCGCAUGGUUUUGAUUUGAAAGGCGCUUUCGGGUGUCGCUGAUGGAUGGACCCGCGGUGCAUUAGCUAGUUGGUGAGGUAACGGCUCACCAAGGCCACGAUGCAUAGCCGACCUGAGAGGGUGAUCGGCCACAUUGGGACUGAGACACGGCCCAAACUCCUACGGGAGGCAGCAGUAGGGAAUCUUCGGCAAUGGACGAAAGUCUGACCGAGCAACGCCGCGUGAGUGAAGAAGGUUUUCGGAUCGUAAAACUCUGUUGUUAGAGAAGAACAAGGAUGAGAGUAACUGUUCAUCCCUUGACGGUAUCUAACCAGAAAGCCACGGCUAACUACGUGCCAGCAGCCGCGGUAAUACGUAGGUGGCAAGCGUUGUCCGGAUUUAUUGGGCGUAAAGCGAGCGCAGGCGGUUUCUUAAGUCUGAUGUGAAAGCCCCCGGCUCAACCGGGGAGGGUCAUUGGAAACUGGGAGACUUGAGUGCAGAAGAGGAGAGUGGAAUUCCAUGUGUAGCGGUGAAAUGCGUAGAUAUAUGGAGGAACACCAGUGGCGAAGGCGGCUCUCUGG
rnacentral:rRNA from 1 species